CUUCCUUCCUGUCAAUUCUAUGACAGAGUGUGUCAGACGAGGAAUCAAAUGUAGGAUCGAGUUUACAGCUAACAAAUGCACUAGCUAUUUUUCAUACUAAACAAAAUGCACUGAAAUCUGAGUAAGAAGUAAAGGAGGAUUUUUUUUUUUUUUAUUUCACCACAUCAAUUAAGCAAAUAAAUGAGGAAUUAGAUUAAAUCAUUGAACUCUCCAGAAAAAUUACAGAUCUUUCCCUCUUAAUCCUAAAGUUUACAGUAAUUAAAUAAUUGAUCGAGUGUAAAGAAAACAGAUGUACAGUCAACAUUUUCCCCUUUUAUUAGAGAAGACAUUACAGAAUAUCAAUAAAAAAUGUGAAGCAUGUAUCAACAAUAAGAAUUUUUCAUUGUGUUUACAGGGUUCAAUAGGACGAGGCUAU
rnacentral:lncRNA from 1 species